GAUGAACGCUGGCGGCGUGCCUAAUACAUGCAAGUCGAGCGAACGGACGAGAAGCUUGCUUCUCUGAUGUUAGCGGCGGACGGGUGAGUAACACGUGGAUAACCUACCUAUAAGACUGGGAUAACUUCGGGAAACCGGAGCUAAUACCGGAUAAUAUUUUGAACCGAAUGGUUAAAAAGUGAAAGACGGUCUUGCUGUCACUGAUAGAUGGAUCCGCGCUGCAUUAGCUAGUUGGUAAGGUAACGGCUUACCAAGGCAACGAUGCAUAGCCGACCUGAGAGGGUGAUCGGCCACACUGGAACUGAGACACGGUCCAGACUCCUACGGGAGGCAGCAGUAGGGAAUCUUCCGCAAUGGGCGAAAGCCUGACGGAGCAACGCCGCGUGAGUGAUGAAGGUCUUCGGAUCGUAAAACUCUGUUAUUAGGGAAGAACAUAUGUGUAUGUAACUGUGCACAUCUUGACGGUACCUAAUCAGAAAGCCACGGCUAACUACGUG
rnacentral:rRNA from 1 species